UUGAUGAAUGUGCAGGUCAUACAUUUAACUGAGCCCACUCAGCCUCAUUGACGUUCAAGUUUGGUUAUGGGAUGUUACAUUUUACGGAUGGGUUUCCUUCAAACAGUGUAGCAGUUGCUUAACCUUAUUUCACAGUUUUUUUUUCCGCAUUGCAUGCUCUCUCUCUCUCUAAAAUGAAGGGAAAGGAUGAAAGUCAAAUGGGAAAGAGGAUUGGAGUGGAAGCACGGCUGGCAUGGUUUUUCCAAGUGUUUUCUAAUCUAUUUUUUGUUUAGUUUGUUUUAGUUCUGUGAUUAAGUAUUUCGAUUAUUAUUUUUUUUUCAAUUUGCAGCCGAUAUUUUAAUUUCUUUUAAAAUGGAAACGUCAUUACAUGUUAGGAGUUAAAACACUGGAUUACUGAAUGGUCUGCCCCAUAAUUCCCAGUAGGUCCGAUUCCGUGUUUCAGUAUCAUCAAAUUUUCUCUAGUA